rnacentral:rRNA from 1 species
UAUAUAUCUUUCGGGAUAUAGAGAGUGGCGAAGGGGUGCGUAACGCGUAUGCAACCUACCUUGUACAGGGGAAUAGCCCGGAGAAAUUCGGAUUAAUGCCCCAUAGUAUCACCAGAUGGCAUCUGAAGGUGAUUAAAGAUUUAUCGGUACAAGAUGGGCAUGCGUGACAUUAGUUAGUUGGCGGGGUAACGGCCCACCAAGACUAUGAUGUCUAGGGGUUCUGAGAGGAUGAUCCCCCACACUGGUACUGAGAUACGGACCAGACUCC